rnacentral:rRNA from 1 species
UGGGGGAUAUUGCACAAUGGGCGAAAGCCUGAUGCAGCGACGCCGCGUGGGGGAUGAAGGCCUUCGGGUUGUAAACUUCUUUUGCUCUGAACAAGGCAUGCCUUUGGGGUGUGUUGAGUGUAGGGGUUGAUUAGCGCCGGCUAACUACGUGCCAGCAGCCGCGGUAAUACGUAGGGCGCGAGCGUUGUCCGGAAUUAUUGGGCGUAAAGUGCUUGUAGGUGGCUGGUUGCGUCUGUCGUGAAAGCUCAUGGCUUAACUGUGGGUUUGCGGUGGGUACGGGCUGGCUUGAGUGCAGAAGGGGAGGCUGGAAUUCCUGGUGUAGCGGUGGAAUGCGCAGAUAUCAGGAGGAAUACCGGUGGCGAAGGCGGGUCUCUGGGCUGUUACUGACGCUGAGGAGCGAAAGCGUGGGGAGCGAACAGG